AUCCAGACUUAAAUUAUUAUAUUUUACAAUCAGUAAUAUGUAUGGUUAGGCAAGGUUCAAAACAGUAGAUAGUAUCAUUACAAAAUAUGUGCAAAAUGACAUUUGUUGAGCAAGUCUAUAGCUAUAUUAUGUUCAUAAAAUUUCGACAUAUAUAUACAUGCAGAAGUGGUUGUUGGCUUUUUUUACCCCAAUCCAAUGGUACAGACUAAAGUUGGUUUUUUUAUAUAUUUUUACCACAAUUUCUCAACAUUUUUUUUGUAAUCAACAUAUAUAUAUUGUUCUCAUAUGUGGUUGUUGAUUUGCUGAUAAAUUCAUUUCUCAAAUGAAACCAGCUAAUCUUUUGUAAAAGAAAAACUUACUGCCACUGACAUUACAGUUUGCAUGCGUGAGGCGCAAAGUUACAUAAGAAUCAGCUAUCAGUGAAUCAUGUUUGGAGGUAUUAAAACACAAGAACACUGGAACGGCUUGAUGAACAAAAUCUGAACAACAAUAUGCUUAUUUGUCAUGGUAAAAAUGUUCAAAGUUAAGAAGACAAAAAAGGUAUUGUAAGAACCUUUUCGCCGGUGUUUCUAAUGUGUUGGAGGAACUUUCAAGAAUAUUAGAUGGUAAAAUAUCUGUGGCCUGCGAUGAGGCUUGAUUGAACAAUUAAGUAUGGUGGAAUGUGAACUUGUUGUAUUAAGUUCAUAAAGCAUACCUCAUGUGAAUAUUUAGUAUCUGUUUUUGAG
rnacentral:lncRNA from 7 species